rnacentral:rRNA from 1 species
GAUGAACGCUGGCGGCGUGCCUAAUACAUGCAAGUCGAGCGAAUGGAUUAAGAGCUUGCUCUUAUGAAGUUAGCGGCGGACGGGUGAGUAACACGUGGGUAACCUGCCCAUAAGACUGGGAUAACUCCGGGAAACCGGGGCUAAUACCGGAUAACAUUUUGAACCGCAUGGUUCGAAAUUGAAAGGCGGCUUCGGCUGUCACUUAUGGAUGGACCCGCGUCGCAUUAGCUAGUUGGUGAGGUAACGGCUCACCAAGGCAACGAUGCGUAGCCGACCUGGGAGGGUGAUCGGCCACACCGGGACUGCGACACGGCCCAGACUCCUACGGGAGGCAGCAGUAGGGAAUCUUCCGCAAUGGACGAAAGUCUGACGUAGCAACGCCGCGUGAGUGAUGAAGGCUUUCGGGUCGUAAAACUCUGUUGUUAGGGAAGAACAAGUGCUAGUUGAAUAAGCUGGCACCUUGACGGUACCUAACCAGAAAGCCACGGCUAACUACGUGCCAGCCGCCGCCGUAA